rnacentral:lncRNA from 1 species
CUAGGCCCUGGCCAGCUCCUGGUAGGAUGUGAGUUUACCCCAGCCCUGGCUUCCCUAUGGACCCCAUUCCCUGUUGAGGAAGGGUCCCCGCCCUGCUCCUCAUGGUGGUGACCAGGGAGACAACAGACAUGCUUUUUGGGCGUGGAAAGGACAGGUUAGGGCAGUGGAGUGGUGGCAGUAGAUGCUAGGGGUCAAGGCUUACUGGAGGAAUCAAAGGCAGGUGCCGUGCCGUCCGCCCCGCUGUCCUGCAUGGGAAACACCUCCACAAACUCCUUCUUGAAGACCGACAACAGCACCUGCAGGAUCUCAAGCUGUGACCCUGUGACCCCAGCCCUGGAACCUCCUACCCACCUGCCCAGCACCUGCAGGAUCUCGAGCUGUGACCCUGUGACCCCAGCCCCAGGACCUCCUACCCACCUGCCCAGCAUCUGCAGGAUCUCCAAGAUCUUCAGCUCUGACCCUAAGAUCACCCACCCUGGACCUCCCACCCACCUGCCCAGCACCUGCAGGAUCUCGAGCUGUGACCCUGUGACCCCAGCCCCAGGACCUCCUACCCACCUGCCCAGCACCUGCAGGAUCUCGAGCUGUGACUCUGUGACCCCGACCCUGGAACCUCCCACCCAGCUGACCAGCACCUGCAGUAUCCCAGGAUCUCAGCUGUGACCCUGUGACCCCCACCCCCACCCCGGGACCUCCCACCCACCUGACCAGCACCUGCAGAAUCUCCAGGAUCUUCAGUUUGGUCUCCAUCACCACAGUGUGCUCAUUGUCCUCAAAUUUGCUUCUGUCUAGCUGCUCAGGGACACCCACUCCAGCAGGCAGGCUGGAGGCACCAAAUACAGACUGCUUGCGGCUCAGCACCAUGGUGGACAUCAUGUGCCCCACCCCCUGGAUGGACCUCCGCACAUUCUUGCCUGUGGGUCACAGAAGUGGAGUCACUGAGAGAUGCGCACCAGGGGUUCCCAAUCUCUGACCUCUGUGAGGCUUGCUGAGAAGGAACAGGGCUAACUCAGGCAGCUUUGCGGGGUGGGAGGGUACAAGCUGGGGGUGGGGUGGGGGGGCGAGCUUUAUGCCAAGACUGGGAAAACAACGGACCAAAGGCAAAGCGGGCAGGGAGUGUGGAGAGAGGUGCACAUCCUCUGUGGGUAGGCUCUCCAGAAUCUGAGGGAAGCUGAAUAAGGGAUGGAGGGGACCCUGUGCCAGCAAUGCUGAAAUCAGGGGCCAGACCCCAGCUCAGUUUGGAAGAGCAUGGCUUCUUGGGUAUCAGGGAGGACUGGAGCCUGACAGCCCUUAUCCUUUAAGACAAGCCAGACUCGAGGGCUUCCCAGCCCCUGAGCUACUA